rnacentral:lncRNA from 1 species
AGGAAAUGAGGCAAUCUAAGAUUAAUCAGCGGCCACCAGUCGGACAGAGCUAGAAGUCCAAGCCAUAGCCAGCUACUUCUGGUUAACAUUCACCCUUUACCCACAAGGCACCCAGGACACCAACAUGCUGAGUUCUAGUGAGAAAGGGAAUGAGCCCCUCCUUGGGUUCAAGCAUCCUUUCUCUGUGAUCCUAGACCUCAGAUCUAGCAGAGCCUCAAAUUACAAGGAUGUGAAGACUGGCAUGGCCAUCGUGUGAGAAAGCUCACCCGCACCUAAUCCUCUCACUUUAGUCUGUGAUGUGUGCACUCUGGCUGUUGGUGGAAGGCAUAGCUUGCAGCCCUGGAAGGAGAGUAUCCUAAAUGUUUUGUCCAGGGUGGUGCAAAAGUUUAUGCAUGGCCAUUCCAAAAUUUGAGCUGGAUAGCUGCUCCAGUUGGAGUGACAGAUGAGAUAGAACCAGUGGGUCUGUUUUUAGCUACCCGCUAUUAAAUCUCAUCCAUAAUCAAAGAACUCUUAUUGGCCGGGCAGUGGUGGCGCUCACUUUUAAUCCCAGCACUUCGGAAGCAGAGACAGACCUAUUUGUGAGUUCCAGGCCAGCCUGAUUUACAAAGCAAGUUCCAGGACAGGCUCCAAAGCUACAGAUAACCCUUAUUUCGAGUUGAUACAAGGGCCCAUGUUAGAAACCUCAUUGGAUAAAUCAAGCAUUCUGUAAGCCUUCACAGAAGAACCAGAAGAGACAUCAUAGGCAAUGACGUCUACUAUGGAGAAGAUGUCAAUUUUAGUGUGAAGCAUUGUCCUUCCCUUGAUAGAAGAGGCCAAUAUAAUCAAUCUGUCACCAAGAGACUGACUAAAAGCCUCAUGGGAGUUCUAAAAGACAGAAGCUAACUGGUGUCUGUCAGGGAGUCCUCCUGUCCACAUGGCUGUUUACUGCAUCUUUUGAGGUGAAUGCCCUCUGACAGGAUUGUCCUGGAACUCACUCUGUGGACCAGACUGGCCUCAAACCCAGAUAUCUACCUGCCUCUGCCUCUUGAGUGCUGGAAUUAAAGCUCACCCCAAGGCACAAGAUUUUUCCUCCAUCAGUUUAUCAUACAAAGGCGAUGGCAUGAUCUGAGAAACUGACUCUGAUACAGCAGAGGAGGAAGACACUGGGAUCCUGGCCAUGUGUUCACUUAAUUGCCUUGUGUUCUUUGGAUCUACUCCCAGUAACCUUCCAUCAUACUUGAAAGGCAGCUCCAGCUUCAAAGUCAUUUGAUGUCUCAUGGUCAAUUCCACAAUGUCCUUUAAAUGACUCUUCUUCCAAUGAGUAGCUAAGGGUAAUUCAUUACAAAAGGAAUACCCUUGCACUAGGUUUCCAUGGCUCUGUCCUGAAAUUCUAAUAGCAAACCUUCAAUAGACUCCACACGGCAGGCAUCUUUAUCUACCAUGAAUAACCUUCCUGCACACAGGGCAUUUUGGCCCACAGCAUCGAUCUGCUACAAAGUCUCUCCUUGAUAUGUAUUUGAACCACAAAAUGGAUGAAUCAAUGGUGUACAAUGCUAUGUGUUUUUCUCAGAAACAAGGGAUAGUUGGGAUACAGUAUCCUAUCUCAGACCAGUGGAUCCUCACAAUAUUUUCAUCUCUAUGACAGAGCUCUAAAUUUUAGGGGAAGGGAGAUUUCUCUCUCAUCUACCUUAUAUUUUGUUCUGAUCCAAUUAGUAUUAUGCACUGUAGAAUGACAGCAUGAUCAAGGACCCUGUGGCUAUAUUGUGACAGAAUUAGCACCACCCACCUGGGCAAGGCAAGAAAUCUACAUUGCUGUUUUCCCCAUUCAUGAACAAAAUAACUUUGAAUUUCCUUACUGAUAAGGACUUAAUUUAGGGGUGGGCGAGGGUUGACACAGGUCUCUAUAUAACCUUGGCUGGUCUGGAACUCACUCUAUAGAACAGGCUGGCCUUGAACUCACAGAGAUCCACUGGCCUCUGCCUCCUGAGUACUAGAAUUAAAGGUGUGUGCCACCUGAGCUGGGUGGUGGUUGUGGCGAUGGCAUCGGUGGAGGCAGCAGCACAUGCCCUUAAUCCCCGUACUCAAGAGGCAGAGGCAGCCUGGUCUAUAGAGUGAGUUCCAGGAUGGCUAUGGCUGUUACACAGAGAAACCCUGUCUCGAAACACCAUUUAAAAAAAAAAAGCAGGGAGGUGGGGGGUGGGGUGGGCGUGUGUCAUCAUACCUAGCCCUUGAUGAGAACUUAAAAGACUGUACUCACUAGUGCAGUGCUGCACACCAAGUGUCAAACGCUUUAUUGGUCUGCUUUGGUAGAGAUUGUCCCAGGUGCAUUUGGAGCUAUGGCUUGGCUAAACCAAUGGAAAGCCACUGUCAUCCAGUCUGUAGUUCCCUGUACCAAUGAACCCAGUGGGCAUGUGAUAGGAAAUGCCAUUGUUGUGCCUUUAGUCUUCGGUGUGAAGGGACCAGCUCCCCUUUCGGCAGCAAUAACAGCCGAACACAUGCUUGCCAUAAACUUGCCUUGGUCACUUAGAGGUCAGAUGCCUGCCUUGUGACAAGGAACCAAUCAGAAGUUAGUCACUAGAAAGUCAGAUGUCUGCCUUGUGACAAGGAACCAAUCAGAAGUUAGCUGGUGGCGCUAUGCUUUACGACCCUGGGUGUGCUUUACGGACAAGUGCACAGCAAUGACGCACAAAGCAUAGCAACCACCCUGGGAGGGCCUAUGGGCCAUAACAACCAGUUGACCAAUCAACACAGGGCAAGCCCUCCAAGCCUGGAGGCACACCAAUCGUGAGCCUGUGCAUACCCCUAGACACUCCCCUUAGGCUGCCCUACAAGAUCGGUACACAGCGGGUUCGAGCUGUCUUUUCUAGCCAUCCGCCAUGGCGGGUGGGUGAAAGACCCGAGCUAGCAUGGGGUUAGCUAGUUAAAUUACAAUAAAGCCUCGUGCAGUUUGCAGCAAGCUCUCGAAUCUGCCUGGUGAUUGGGGUGACCGAAGUCGUGGCCUGGGAUCCCGGAUACUUGAGUUUUCCGGGUGUCUAACAGGUGGAGGGGCUGAUCUCUGCAAUUCUUCACCCAAUGUGAUUGGUGAGAUAUCUGGCAUGCCGUCUGCCAACUGUUAGAUAUAUCCAUCCCAAUGUAGAAAACCCAGAAAUAACUGCAAAAUGAAUCUGUGGGCCCAUUAGACCUACGUUGAAAGAAAUGUGAGGCAGACUCUUUACCUUGCCUUUACUGGCCUGUUCUGGGCAGGGAGCCAUGACAGUGCUUCAGGUCCUCUUUGGUCCUUGACAGAGCCAGACAAUCCUUUCUCUGUGGUCAACACCUACUCUAGAAUAUAGCCAUGGGUCCCUAAAGGAAGAUCCAGAGGCUACGUGCAUGUGUGAGCACACACCAGACACACACACACACACACAC